CCGGGCCGGGGCGUCAGUUUUCGUUGGUCCAGGUAUUCAGCUCAAGCAUGAAGUGUCACUCUGUGUCGAGUCAGAAGCGCUUUUAAGUCGGAAAGCAGUGAAGAGCAGAAGACUCUGUGAGCCCUGAGAAACCCGCCUUGGUGAACUUUUGUCUUCUUCCGUCCUCCACCGUCCACCGGCGUUAAACAAUUUUUGGACUCGGCCUGACGGAGACCCGCCGCUGCCGUUUCCGAAACGGUUCAACGUUCCCAUGUUACCCGGGUAACAAAUUCAGUUCCUUUCCAUCUAUCUCUGCGCUUCCGUUUUCGACUUUCCACCUACAUUUCCAGACCCAAAGCCCUAACUCUAAAACGACGCCGUUCCGCCCUUCUAGCUUCUCCACCGGCUGCGAAUUUACCC
rnacentral:lncRNA from 1 species